rnacentral:sRNA from 1 species
UGAAUAUUUUUGUUUCCCCUUCUCAGAAGACUGAUUUAUGUUGCAUUAUUACUUAUAUGGAUGUAUUACUAAUACGAAUAAUUAAUACAUAGAUUGUGUGGGUAUCCUUGCAUGCUCUAUUUCUGGCAGAAAAAUCAUUAUUAAGGUUUUUACUUUUCUUUCCUUUCAAAAGGAUUCCUUUCCAUUGAAAGUUCGUGGGAUCCAUUUGAUAAAUGAGCCGGUCAUUUUCCAUGCUGUCUUUUCCAUGAUUAAACCAUUUCUGACUGAAAAGAUUAAGGGUCGGAUUCAUCUGCAUGGGAACAAUUAUAAAUCAAGCCUACUUCAGCACUUCCCAGACAUUCUUCCUCUGGAAUAUGGUGGUAACGAGUCCUCCAUGGAGGAUAUUUGUCAGGAGUGGACAAAUUUUAUAAUGAAGUCUGAAGAUUAUCUCAGCAGCAUUUCUGAGACCAUCCAAUGAGAAGUUGUUUCCUGUGAAUGACUUCAUCUAAAAUUCAAGGAUGGGAUUCUAUCUGGUUACUAAACUCAAGACCAAACCUUCUAAACGAAUUGAUCCUUAUCUGAUCUUUAAACACGCAACAUGGAUAUUUGGAGGAUGUUUUAAUUUCAACAAUGCUCUGUUCCUUUUAAAUUAAUUAAAUGUUAGGAAAGAAGAUAUUUCUGUUUUCCCUUGAAGAGCAAACAUAGCUUCAUCUAAAGUAGUUGUUCCAGUGUUUCUUUGUAUGGUUCAGGAAAUUUUAUAUUAAACAAAACUUUAUGAUCCCAUUGUUUAAUAUUAGAUUGAUGGUUAUCUACUGGAAAGAAAUACUGUACGCAUCAACUGAUGGUGAAACAAUAUUAAUGCUCAGCUGAGAUUGGUAUCAGCUCAUAAAUCAGGUUGCAGUCUGAAUACAGAUUAAUUAGUUCAUCUCAGGUAAAUCCGACUUUAGCAUAUGCACAAUAGAAGCCUUUCAAUGUCAGUCUACACACUAUAAUAUUGCAAUCAAUGAAAUCACUAUGGUUGAUAAAGGUGAUUCAGAACUUAAGAAAAAUUUCUGGGCACAGUAGAUGGUUUCUCAUACUGUCUUGUAUUUUCAAAUAAGUAAAGAAUAUAAUUAUGGCUUCUGUUUAUAGACAGGGAAGUAGAUGUAUAUGUUUUUUACAUAGACUUGAAAAUUUAAGAGAACUACAUAAAUGAAAGGAGGUGUUUACAUUUUAAACCAUCAGCAGUGAUACCUAGUAUUUUUCAGAUUAUUCAUAAAUAAUUUGAUUUUAUUCUGAGAUAAUUGACUAUUACCUCAGAAUAUUCUGUUUAGUUUAAAUAGUCGGCAGCUGGGAUGUGCAGUCUCUACCAUAGUGCAGUUCAUUUCUAAGACUUUCAUUCAUUGAGAAAGGUGUGAUCUGAUCCUGUAUUCAGCCCAGCCUUCAAUUUGGCACAUAGGUUUAUACUUGAUGUUUCUAAUUAAUUUUAUUUUAAACUGGAACUAAUACAAGGUAAAGAACUUAAUGAAUUUAUGUUCAAAUAGUUAGACUUCUACAUUAAUUUCAUAAGAGUAUCUUUGUACAAGGAUAUUUUUCAUUGUACAAGGGUGUUUUUCUUUAUAAGAAAAUAAGUCUAAUCAGAUAAGCUGAUACUCAUGAUUCUCUGUACAUAUACUUCUGACAAAACUGAAAGGUGCAGAUAGAUGUUCUUUAGAGAACUGUUUAAUUUUGAUUUAGCAACUAGACGUUAACUUUACUAUUUAAUUUUACUAAAAAAAUCUUGCCUUUUUCUUAAAAAAUAGUCUUCUUUACUAAAUUAUAAAAUUAAAACUAUAUAAAUAAGAAUAAUAGAAAAUAAGUUAAGGAAAUAAACAGUAGUAAAACACCUCUGGUUUAUCAAACGUUUAAUCAUAGAAGGAAACCCUGAUGUCACUUUCUUUACGUAUGACUCUGUGAAGGAAUGUAAUGGUACAUUACAAUAGGAGCUAAUGUUUUAAAUGUGUACAGUAGUGAAAUAAUUAACAAUAAACUGGAGUUUAAAAUGCCAGUCAAUGUAAGUACAUUCUAUGAUGGGGCUUUGAAAGUGUUUAUUCCAUGAAGCAAUUCUACAAAGAACAUUGAUGAGCAAUAUGGGUAAACUGUUUGGAAGGUGCUGGGCAAAUAACUGGAAUUGUCUAAGUGGCUUCACCGCACUGUACCAGAAACAUAUUCUGAAAGUCAGACCCAUCAGUGCUCACUGUGCUGCCGAACUUCACAGUAAUUUACUUUACUGUUGUGAAAAAUAAACAUCGCUCUUGUAAACCGUGGUGUUAACAUUUUUUCUAAAAUGUAAAGGAGGCAUUCUUUUUACAAAAGAGAAAUGCUUUAUCUUUCAGAAAAAAAUGAAGCAAAAACAUCUUAUCCAUUAUCUGAAUGUUGAUUCCUUUGCUUAUAAGUUUUAGGUGCAGGUGGCUUCUCCUAUUGCUUCUCUUCCUUCGGUGUCUUUUUGCUAGAUCAAGUGCAGAUGCUGUACCACAAGCUCUAGUUCCUCUAGUUCCAGCUUUGAGAAAUCUGAUUUUGGAAUUCAUGUUCAAUUUUACUUGGACAGUUAAACAUUCCUAAGAAUUAAAAUCUAUUAAAGAAACAUAAAUUAUC